UAAAGAGCCACAAAUUCAGGGGGAAAUAAAGCUUCACUCCCACGACAAGGCUCAUUACAGUACCAUCUACAACUGUGAGAAACUGCAAACGGCCUCACGUGUAUGAGAUGGUGCAAGGAAGCUUCGGCGCACACACGACGGACGGGAGAGGAGACAGCCGCAAAAACUGCAAAAGCGCGGAAAAUAAUUACAGUAAAGUCUGAAGCAAAUAUUAGGCUACAAAUUAGGUAUGCAGUCAUUUAUUUUGAAAAAGAAGCCUCACAGAAUACAAACUAUGGAAAUGAAAAUACGCUACGACGUCAACAGUGGUUGUGUUCAAAUCACAGGUAAAAGCUCCCGAACAUGUUUGUCAAGGAGGCAGGGCUGGGCAUGACUGUCUGCAUCUGACAGAAGAUGAAUCAGAGGUCCGAAGAGGCCAGCCGGAGAUAAGGGAAGAAAAUAUCUAGACCAAACCUCAUAGAAGUUCCAAGAACGAUGGUUACGUCUGGCUGCAGGCAGGAGUGAAGACUUCCUGGAAAAGGGGUAUCAAAGCACUGCUUGCUGAGCACCUGUGACAUGUUCAGCAAUCUGCGUGAAGAAGCUCCUGAAUGUUCACCAUAACCGAAGGGGUAAGGAGUAUGAUUAUCCCCAGUGAAUAGUGGAGGGAAGCUGGUGAGAUUCAAAAUCAGGUCUGACCCCAAAGCCAGGCACUCUGAAGAACUUCAGUCUUCACUUGCUGCAUUUAGGAAGGUUCUCGCAGGAGUGUCAGGGUGGUCUGGAUAAUGUGAGCAGUGCAGGACCCCCAUUAUCCCGCUGUGGGAGCCCAGCAGACACCCAGAGUGUCUCCUGCAGUUUGGGGGCCCUGAGGGCUUUCUUCUGGUGACCCAGCUAAAAUGGACCCUUCCCUUGUCAUAACCCCUUCCCCGCAAAACCAUGGAGCUCCUGCCCCUACCCUGCGCAAGAACUUUCACAAGGGGUGGCCCUUGAACUCCAGCCCAUCAAUGCCCAAAUCAGCUCGUAGAGCCCUGACUCACUCAGGGUUUAAUGAUCCCCCCCCAGGCCGCUCAUUGAGAGGAGACCACCUCUGUUCAUCUUCUAUUGAGGAGCCCCUUGGGGAAAACUCUGCAUUACAGUCCUUAGAGCUCAGAGGUAUUGGAAAGGUUGCUGGGGUCAACCUGGCCACUUUCUGAAACCUGGAAGCAUGGAGGCUGCCUUUCCCCACCUCCUCGUCUAACACUUCCCAUCCCACGAGUGUUCAGAGAGAGCAGAAUCUUCCUGUGGCCUUUAGAGACCCGCAAAAGGUGCCAAUGCCUGGCUAGGAAGGAUGCAGGAGGGCAGGGGAGACGGAACCAGCAGCCACGUUGUAUGUGAGCACUCAGGGGAUCGGCCUGGUGUAGGGCAGUAUUUCCCUGAUUGCUGUCCUUCCAGAACCACCUACUCGAUUUUAGGCAUAAUCACAUAUCACCUGGUCUAUUAUUAUACUUAAAUUUAUUUUAAAAGGAGGUCUUGUAUCACUACUGCAGAGGAGAAACUGAAUCAUUUGCCAUAAACAGGAGGUAACCAUGGAGAUAGAGGGUUAUUAAAUUUCUAGCUAAGUUGUUCUAUGGCAGGCUGAGGCUCCCUCCCCAUCCUUACCCUGACUCCUUACCCUCUCUGUGACCCCGUCCCCUUCUGCUGCUUUAGUUGCCCCCUUGGAUAAAAUUGCUCACUCAGCAUUCCCUCUACUAAUAAAGGCAGAUCUCUCCAAGAAAUGACUUUACUUGCAGAGAAGCACAUUUGCAAAUUCUUUCAGUACAUCGCUCCUAAACGCUCCGUUAAUUGUUCGGUCCCAGGAUAGUAAAUUAGGAGACCCUUUGAGGACAAUGCAACAGCCCUGUGUGGCACUAGAUCGAUUUCAACCCCGGGUGGGACUUGCUGGACUCCUUGCUCUUUUCUGAGAUCCUCUCAGAAAAGAUGAGCUACCCCAGGGGCCUCCAAAUGGCCUCAUCUGAGGCUCAAUCCCAAGGAAGUCUGAGAGGCCUGAGGGCGAAGGAGGGGGUCCCUGCUCUAGCUGAGUGUGUUGGCAUGCACAUUUCACCUGCUCGGAAAGUCUUAGACACGAAGCCUUGAGGGCUAUGGGCAUCGGGGGACCUGGGGCCAGAGUAGCCUUAGGCAACAUGAAGACAAACAGGACAUGAGCUGCAGUGCUAGGGCUGGUGAGCUCUGCCGUCUGAAACUGCAUGAAGCCAGCGUUGAGCACCCACUUGGGCUUCCCAUUAAACACCUCAACAGAAGACACCGUAGCCUCUCCUGAGACCCUUGGUUCUCCUCUUCUGCUUUUCUCUUCUUUCACCACUACUGACGCUUAGACUCACAGACCAACACAUGUGGGACCUGCACAGCCUGGAGGAACCAGCUGGCUCCACCCCUCAGGUGAGGCCAAUUGGAGGCCCCUGGGGUAGCUCAUCUUUGGGGGAAGGGAGGGUUUCCAACCAACAUUUGAAAGUGCUCAUCCAGCUCUGAUUGAGAACAGAGGCUCACGCUGCAUGGGGAUAUUUGGAGCAGUGCUCAGUUUCUGCUCCAGUCUCAGCAGAACCACACCCCGAAAACUCACCAGACCUGCCUUCCCUGGGGGGCAACCUAGGGAUCACCUCUACAGAGGGGGGAUGCAGGUCCUAAUGGGGCAUCUCCCUGAAAGAAGUGGAAGCUAGGGUGGAGAGGUGAGAAGAACCCUUUGAGAGGGGUUAUGGAGCAACGUGCAUUCUUGGGGAGCAGUGGCUGUCCCCCUCCCACCUUCACCUUGCCAACAUUUUACUGCAGGGAUCCUGGGAUU